rnacentral:rRNA from 1 species
AUUGAACGCUGGCGGCAGGCCUAACACAUGCAAGUCGAGCGGAGCGGCGGACGGGUGCGUAAUGCCUAGGAAUCUGCCUGGUAGUGGGGGAUAACGUCCGGAAACGGGCGCUAAUCCCGCAUCCUAUCAGAUUCGCCUAGGCCGGAUUAGGUAGUUGGUGGGGUAAAGGCCUACCAAGGCGACGAUCCGUAGCUGGUCUGAGAGGAUGAUCAGUCACACUGGAACGAAGACACGGUCCAGACUCCUACGGGAGGCAGCAGUGGGGAAUAUUGGACAAUGGGCGAAAGCCUGAUCCAGCCAUGCCGCGUGUAUGAAGAAGGUCUUCGGAUUGUAAAGCACUUUAAGUUGGGAGGCGUUACCAACAGAAUAAGCACCGGCUAACUUCGUGCCAGCCGCCGCGGUAAUUC